GUGACGACACAGCAACAAGACGCCUUCUUGGAAGCAGAGAGAUGGGACCGUCAGCAGGCACCAAACCUGCUGGCACCUUGAUCUUAGGCUUCCUGGCCUCCAAAACUGUAAAGAAAAAGAAUGAAGAAAAAGAGAAAGAAGAGAAAGGGAAGAUGCAACAGGCAGCAGAUGGUUGGGAAAAAAUUAAAAGAGAAGAUGAGAAAUAUGAAGAAAGAGGAGAAGAUUUGAAGAAAAUAAAGCAAAAUGUUGAUUUGACUUAAGUGAUGAAAAUUAAAGCUGGUUAGCCAGGCCCAGGUUUGAGUUCCAAGUUCAAUUCAGUUCAAGUUCCUGGCAAAUGUACAAUGAGAAAAGUUUAUGAUUCCAAAAUUAUUAUGUGCCAAAGAUCCCAACUUCCUCAAAAACCACAAGUCUCUCACAACCCUCUCUUAUUUUUGAUGGGAUAAGAGAAAUGUGCCAGCAAGAGGCUGCCCACAGCAUCAACCCAAAGUCAAACCGAAGACAGGCAACACCUCAUCUGAGAGUAAAGAAGACCCCUAUGGUUUCACUUUCAGCAGCUGCAGUGUGAUAACUGAAUUACAAUGUGUACCUUUCUUGAGCAUCAGAAAUCUCUACAUUGGCCGAGUGCAGUGGCUCAUGCCUGUAAUCCCAGCACUUUGGGAGGCCAAGGCAGGUGGAUCACCCGAGGUCAGGAGUUCGAGACCAGCCUGGCCAACAUGGUGAAACUCCAUCUCUACUAAAAUACAAAAAAUUAGCUGGACAUGGUGGCCGGCGCCUGUAAUCCCAGCUAGCUACUCAGGAGGCUGAGGCAGGAGAAUCGCUUGAACAAAGGAGGCAGAGGUUGCAGUGAGCCGAGAUCAUGUCAUUGCACUCCAGCCUGGGAAACAAGAGCAAAACUCCAUCUCAAAAGAAAAAAGAAAAAAAGAAUUCUCUACGUUGACAACACUCAACCAUGAUAUCUGGACACAAAAGUGCAUUUCUUUCAUUUAGAAGAUGUGUCAAGCAAGCAUUUGCAAAUAAUUGUUUAAUUUUUGUAAGUGGAUAUAUCAAUGCACACACAUUCAUAUAUAUAACAAUUGUAUAUAUGUGUGCAUUAAUGAAUUAUUCUCAAUCACUUGUAUUCUGAUAAGAUUUCUUGUCUAGGAGAAAAAUGCCUUGGAUGGCAAGGGGUACAUAUUUGGGAAUGUUCUCCACAUAUGAGCACAAACUAUCGUAUAUGGCAUCAGGAAAAUGUGACAGAAGAUACUUUGCAAUAUCUUAUUCCUGUUCAUACCAUAAGAUAAGGUUGAGAAUGAGCACAUGAGGAUCCGGACCAGGGGCUAGGUGCUGAGGCCUGCCUACAGACUUCACAGGUCUUGGAUUCUCUAAAGCAUUGGAAUGGCUAUGGGUGAAUAGCUGAGGCCUAUUAGACGAUUUGCACUGAGAAUAACUAGACUGAACAAUAUCACAGAUCACAGACACCUGCAAACGACCAGUCUAAAUUUUUUUUUUUAGACGGAGUCUUACUCUCUUGCCCAGGCUGGAGUGCAGUGGCACGAUCUCGGUGCUCACUGCACCCUCUGCCUCCUGGGUUCAAGCGAUUCUCUUGCCUCAGCCUCCUGAGUAGCUGGGACCACAGAUGCACACCACUAUGCCCAGCUAAUUUUUGAAUUUUUAGUAGAGACA
rnacentral:lncRNA from 10 species